rnacentral:rRNA from 1 species
AACGAACGCUGGCGGCGUGGAUAAGACAUGCAAGUCGAACGGGACUGUCGCAAGGCAGUUCAGUGGCGCAAGGGUGAGUACAACGUGGAUAAUCUGCCGUGAAGUUGGGAAUAACGCGCUGAAAGGUGCGCUAAUACCCGAUGUGUUCAACUGGCGGCAUCGCUGGUUGAGUAAAGCUGGGGACAGCAAUGCCUGGCGCUUCAUGAUGAGUCCACGACCUAUCAGCUAGUUGGAGGGAUUACAGCCCCCCAAGGCUUUGACGGGUAGCUGGUCUGAGAGGACGAUCAGCCACACUGGAAUUGAGAAACGGUCCAGACACCUACGGGUGGCAGCAGUCGAGAAUUUUUCACAAUGGGCGCAAGCCUGAUGGAGCGACGCCGCGUGGGGGAUGAAGGGCUUCGGCUCGUAAACCCCUGUCAUUCGCGAAACAAUAACCCCGUUUGAACAGGGCGGGAGUUGAUAGUAGUGGAAGAGGAAGAGGCGGCUAACUCUGUGCCAGCAGCCGCGGUAAUACAGAGGCCUCGAGCGUUGUUCGGAUUCACUGGGCGUAAAGCGUGCGUAGGUGGCGGGAAAAGUUUGAGGUGAAAUCUCCGGGCUUAACCCGGAAACGGCCCCAAAUACUGUCUCGCUAGAGUGCUUAAGAGGAGAUUGGAAUUCUCGGUGUAGCAGUGAAAUGCGUAGAUAUCGAGAGGAACACCAGUGGCGAAAGCGAAUCUCUGGGAAGACACUGACACUGAGGCACGAAAGCCAGGGGAGCAAACGGGAUUAGAUACCCCGGUAGUCCUGGCCUUAAACUUUGCAUACUUGCUAUGAGACCUUUAAAGACUCGUGGCGAAGUUAACACGUUAAGUAUGCCGCCUGGGAAGUACGGUCGCAAGAUUAAAACUCAAAGAAAUUGACGGGGGCCUGCACAAGCGGUGGAGUAUGUGGCUUAAUUCGAUGCAACGCGAAGAACCUUACCUGGCCUUGAAAUGCAGAUGGUAGUCCGGUGAAAGCCUGGCGACCCCGCAAGGGGAGUUUGCACAGGUGCUGCAUGGCUGUCGUCAGCUCGUGUCGUGAGAUGUUGGGUUAAGUCCCGCAACGAGCGCAACCCUUGUAUUUUGUUGCUAACCGAAUUAAUAUUUGGUGCACUCGAAAUAUACUGCCGCGCACCAACGCGGAGGAAGGUGGGGAUGACGUCAAGUCAGUAUGGCCCUUACGGCCAGGGCUGCACACGUACUACAAUGCCCGAUACAAUGGGCUGCGACCCGGCAACGGGAAGCCAAUCCUCAAAAUCGGGCCCAGUUCAGAUUGUCGUCUGCAACUCGACGGCAUGAAGCUGGAAUCGCUAGUAAUGGCGCAUCAGCUACGGCGCCGUGAAUACGUUCCCAGGCCUUGUACACACCGCCCGUCACAUCAUGAAAGCCGCUUGCACCCGAAGACGUCAGACCAACCGCAAGGAGGAUGACGUUUAAGGUGUGGGUGGUGAUUGGGAUG